UGGGUGUUCACGGAGCAAGUCUGCAAACUC
rnacentral:piRNA from 1 species